CCUACGGGAGGCAGCAGUGAGGAAUAUUGGUCAAUGGGCUUACGCCUGAACCAGCCAAGUCGCGUGAGGGAAGACUGCCCUAUGGGUUGUAAACCUCUUUUGUCAGGGAGCAACGCCGGCUACGUGUAGCCGGACUGAGAGUACCUGAAGAAACAGCAUCGGCUAACUCCGUGACAGCAGCCGCGGUAAUACGGAGGAUGCGAGCGUUAUCCGGAUUUAUUGGGUUUAAAGGGUGCGUAGGCGGAAUGCCAAGUCAGCGGUAAAAUCGCGGGGCUCAACCUCGCUCCGCCGUUGAAACUGGCGUUCUUGAGUGGGCGAGAAGUAUGCGGAAUGCGUGGUGUAGCGGUGAAAUGCAUAGAUAUCACGCAGAACUCCGAUUGCGAAGGCAGCAUACCGGCGCCCAACUGACGCUGAAGCACGAAAGCGUGGGUAUCGAACAGGAUUAGAUACCCGGGUAGUC
rnacentral:rRNA from 1 species